rnacentral:rRNA from 1 species
GAAAUCACAUGAGUCUACUAAAUGUUGGUGAUUGUGAUAACGUAAGGGAAAAAAAUGAUAUUACCUUACUAUUAGUGUUGUCCAAAACUGGUGCCAGAAGACUCGGUAAGGCCAGAGACGCAAACGUUAGUCGUCCUAAUCAGGCGUAAAGGGUGUGUAGGCUGCUUUAAAAGUUUUAUCUUAAAAAAGCUCUUUAAACUUAGUUAUUGCCUCCUUUCUAGCCUUCGGCUGGUAAGUUGGGCUGCGUAAAUUUCUUCUUAUAAAAUUAUAUCUUAAAAAAUCUAAAUUUUCUAGGUUAAUACGUAAAAAAAAUAUACGUUUACAGUAAAGAUAAAAUUAAUUAAAGCUAGGAUCAAGGUGGGGAUAAACCAAAUAAUACUUAGAGUAGGGAUUAAAUCCUCAGAUACUAAGGGGAAUACUAAAGGUGAAAGCUUUUUAUCUACUAUUGAUUGACGCUGAGAAACGAAGGUGAGAAUAGGAAAUAGGAUUAGAUACCCAGAUACCUCUCACUGUCAACGAUGAAUGGUGGUUAUUAGUUUGUAUUUUUAAAAAACUGGUAACGAUGUUAACACGAUAACCAUUCCGCCUUGCGAGUACGGUUGCAAAACUGAAACCAAAAAAAUUAGUCGGUCU